UUCAUUUGGCAUUUUAACUCUUAUCUAAACAAUUUCAAUUUCAACCUACCCACUAAGUGCAUUUUAACAUCCACUUUUGCACUACCAUGAAACCGUCUCUUUUAUUUUAAGUCGUGAGUUCAUUUUUCAAAGCUGAAAUCUCAACUUCUUUAGCCACUCUCUCUCUCUCCCUAUUAUACUUAUGCAUCAAAUUAUUUUGCCCCUUCUUCCAUAGACAAAAAAGAACUUUGAAUCUGAAUAUUUCUAAAGAAAAGGGCAAGACGUACGCUGCAUUUUAUUCUUUGGACACGAAAGGAUAUUUCAAAUUCCAAGCAUUAAGGUAGGGGUGUUUCAGCACUUAUGUAAGUGAUGUAAGAUUUAUAUAUUUUCGUUUGCAUUAAAUGUGUUAUUGUGUUGCUCAUGAUGGAAUCACCGUUUGGUGGUUUAAACAAGAGAUGAAGAGAUGAUUAUGACAAAUGAAAUGGGGUUAUCAAAACCUAAGAGUAAGCGGACUAACUGAUCACCAAUUCGCUUGAAAUUGACGGUGACACAAUUGACCAAAGUUUGCAUUUCUGAAAAUAUAUAUUGUUACCGUUUACUUAAGUGUUUCCUACUGAGUAUUAUUUAUAGUACUCAUCCCUACAAAUAAUUUUACAGGUUACGAUCGAGGCAUGGCAAUGGUUGGCAUAGUGGCAAGUGUUCGG
rnacentral:lncRNA from 1 species